rnacentral:rRNA from 1 species
UACGGAGGGGGCUAGCGUUGUUCGGAAUUACUGGGCGUAAAGCGCACGUAGGCGGCUUUGUAAGUUAGAGGUGAAAGCCCGGGGCUCAACCCCGGAAUUGCCUUUAAGACUGCAUCGCUAGAAUUGUGGAGAGGUAAGUGGAAUUCCGAGUGUAGAGGUGAAAUUCGUAGAUAUUCGGAAGAACACCAGUGGCGAAGGCGACUUACUGGACACAUAUUGACGCUGAGGUGCGGAAGCGUGGGGAGCAAACAGG